CGGAAGUAAAGUCGUAACAGGUUUCCGUAGGUGAACUGCGGAAGGAUCAUUAUAAAUGGUCUACGUUUUUUUAAGUAGACGCUUAAUAAUCUACCUUUGUGAAUUUGUGUUUUAAAUAAUUUUUUUUAAAAUUAUUGAUUGUCUUUCCCUGUUGAAUGGUUGUCUUAAUGCAAAUGAUUCGCAGGGAGUGUCAGUAAUUUUAAAAGACUUUUUAAAAUUAAACUUUUGUAUUCAUUUGUCUAAAAUUAUUUUUAUAAUAUAAACACUUUUGACAAUGGAUUCUUGGUUCUCGCAACGAUGAAGAACGCAGCAAAAUGCGAUAAGUGUGUGAAUUGCAGAAUACGUGAAUCAUGAAUUUCGAACGCAUAUUGCACUUUUAGUUUACUAAAAAAGUAUGUCUGUUGAGUAUCAGUAAAAUAUUCUCAUAAAAACAUUGUUUUUAUGUUAUGAGUGUUUUACAACGAUACAAGUGUUCACUUUAAAUUUUUUAAAUUUGAAUUUUCUAAUUUUAAAUAAAAUUGGAUAAAAUUUUCCGUAAAAGGAAUAACUAAACAAUUUUAAAUUUUGAUUAGAAUCUUCACAUUCUAAAGAAAUUUAACUAAAUAACUUGAUCUCAAUCAGAUAAGAGUACCCGCUGAACUAAGCAUAUCAAUAAGCGGAGGAAAAGAAACUAACAAGGAUUCCUUAGUAACGGCGAGUGAGCGGGAGAGCUCAAUUGAAAUCUCAAGUUUACCUUGACGAAUUGUAGUUUAAAGAAGUUUUCUGUUGAAGUUUUGGUAAAGUUCUUGGAUGGACAUCAUAGAGGUGAGAAUCCGUAUUGACCAUUAUUUCAGCUGUGUGAUACACUUCAAGAGUCGGAUUGUUUGGAAUGCAGUCCAAAAUGGGUGGUAAAUUUCAUCUAAAGCUAAAUAUUGGCGAGAGACGAUAGCGAACAAGUACCGUGAGGGAAAGAUGAAGAACUUUGAAAAGAGUUAACGUACGUGAAAUUGUCAAAGGAAGCGUUCGACACCAGUGUUGUUUUCUCGAAAUCAUUAAAAAAGUUGGAUUUUGUGUUGUAUUGACCUUAACAGCUUGCUUCACUCUUUUCUGCUUUUUUUAAUGCACUUUUCGUUAGCAAGUCAACAUCAGUUUCUUUUGUUGUAAAAGGUCAUUGGAGGUGCUUUCUCUUCGGAGAAAGUGUUUAUAGCCUUUGAUCUCUGCAAUCGGAGAGACUGAGGUCUGCAGCGUAGAUCUUCGGGUUAGAUACAUUUGUGCUAGCUACAGCUUUCAUAGACAAUUGUUGACUAUGUUAGUCUUGUAACUUACCGCUUAUGCUAUUUACCUACGCUUAGGAUGUUGAG
rnacentral:misc_RNA from 1 species